AGAGUUUGAUCAUGGCUCAGAACGAACGCUGGCGGCGUGCUUAACACAUGCAAGUCGAACGAGAAAGGGGUCUUCGGACCCUGAGUAGAGUGGCGCACGGGUGAGUAACGCGUAGGUAAUCUACCCUUAUAGCUGGGAUAACAUCGGGAAACUGGUGCUAAUACCGGAUACACUUCUUUACUGCGGGGUAAAGGAGGAAAGGUGGCCUCUUCAUGAAAGCUACCGUAUAGGGAUGAGCCUGCGUACCAUUAGCUAGUAGGCGGGGUAACGGCCCACCUAGGCCACGAUGGUUAGCGGGUCUGAGAGGAUGAUCCGCCACACUGGAACUGGAACACGGACCAGACUCCUACGGGAGGCAGCAGUGAGGAAUAUUGCGCAAUGGGGGCAACCCUGACGCAGCGACGCCGCGUGAGUGAGGAAGGUCUUCGGAUCGUAAAGCUCUGUCAGAAGGGAAGAAAUGUUAUAUGGAUAAUACCCAUAUAAUUUGACGGUACCUUCAGAGGAAGCACCGGCUAACUCCGUGCCAGCAGCCGCGGUAAUACGGAGGGUGCUAGCGUUGUUCGGAAUUACUGGGCGUAAAGGGCGCGUAGGCGGCUGGAUAAGUCAGAUGUGAAAGUCCAUGGCUCAACUGUGGAAGUGCAUUUGAAACUGUCCGGCUUGAGUAUCGGAGGGGAGUGUGGAAUUCCCGGUGUAGAGGUGAAAUUCGUAGAGAUCGGGAGGAACACCGGUGGCGAAGGCGACACUCUGGACGAAUACUGACGCUGAGGCGCGAAAGCGUGGGGAGCAAACAGGAUUAGAUACCCUGGUAGUCCACGCCGUAAACGAUGUGAACUAGGGAUAGGGGGUGUUGAUCCCUCCUGUCCCGCAGCUAACGCAUUAAGUUCACCGCCUGGGGAGUACGGUCGCAAGAUUAAAACUCAAAGGAAUUGACGG
rnacentral:rRNA from 1 species